GUGUUCUUUUAAGGUUGCCUCAGUACUUUAAGCGGCUAACCCCGAAGGGUAAAGGAUAUGUUCAUAAAACCCAGAAAAUAUACUGCAAACCUCCUCUUUGGAUCCUGUCUGGAGUCACAGGU
ensembl:snoRNA